UCGUAACAAGGUUUCCGUAGGUGAACCUGCGGAAGGAUCAUUACCGAGUGAGGGCCCUCUGGGUCCAACCUCCCACCCGUGUUUAUUUUACCUUGUUGCUUCGGCGGGCCCGCCUUAACUGGCCGCCGGGGGGCUCACGCCCCCGGGCCCGCGCCCGCCGAAGACACCCUCGAACUCUGUCUGAAGAUUGAAGUCUGAGUGAAAAUAUAAAUUAUUUAAAACUUUCAACAACGGAUCUCUUGGUUCCGGCAUCGAUGAAGAACGCAGCGAAAUGCGAUACGUAAUGUGAAUUGCAAAUUCAGUGAAUCAUCGAGUCUUUGAACGCACAUUGCGCCCCCUGGUAUUCCGGGGGGCAUGCCUGUCCGAGCGUCAUUGCUGCCCUCAAGCCCGGCUUGUGUGUUGGGCCCCGUCCUCCGAUUUCCGGGGGACGGGCCCGAAAGGCAGCGGCGGCACCGCGUCCGGUCCUCGAGCGUAUGGGGCUUUGUCACCCGCUCUGUAGGCCCGGCCGGCGCUUGCCGAUCAACCCAAAUUUUUAUCCAGGUUGACCUCGGAUCAGGUAGGGAUACCCGCUGAACCUAAGCAUAUCA
rnacentral:misc_RNA from 1 species